AUAAGGAAACCCCACAACCAGUUACCAGUGGUAGCGACGGCAGCACACUUGGAACGAUAACGAAUGGGAUACGAUUCACCAACGAUAACGUAUGCGGCAGGACCCCAAGUUUGAGCAAAACUGAAAAUGAAAAGACAUGAGAACACAAUCAUAACGGCACCGGCACGAUGGUUUGAGGUACCAUUCUUACGAGUAAGAGCACGAUUACCAACAGCUGCGUAAAUGAAGAAAGUAAUGGAUUGCCAAACACCACCAAUAAUCAAUGGCAUACGACGACCAAAGAACUCUAGGACGAAAAGACCACCAAACGUACAUCCAAAGUUAACGGCAUCAAGAAUCAAAGCAGAAAGAUAAGGAGAGUUCAUACCAGUACCCUCAAACACCUCGAAACCAUAGUAGAAGUAGUAGUUAUCACCGGUAAGUUGUUGAAGAGACAUGACACCAAGACCAAGGAAGGUACGAUAACGAAU